rnacentral:rRNA from 1 species
CACGUAGGGGGCGAGCGUUGUCCGGAUUUAUUGGGCGUAAAGAGCUCGUAGGCGGUUCGAUAAGUCGGGUGUGAAAACUCUGGCUCAACUCAGAGACGCCACCCGAUACUGUUGUGACUUGAGUCCGGUAGGGGAGUAUGGAAUUCCCGGUGUAGCGGUGAAAUGCGCAGAUAUCAGGAGGAACACCAAUUGCGAAGGCAGCUCGCUGGGACGUAACUGACGCUGAGACGCGAAAGCGUGGGGAGCAAACAGG